AGGCCUAGGCUUGGUGAGUGGUAACCAAGGCAACGAGGCCUCUUUGGAAAUAAGUGCUCACUGCAGCCCCCCAUUUUGUGCAGAGAACUGGGCAGCGUUAAAGAUUAGAGAAGACAAGGUGAGCCACACUCAGGACUCCCGUGCUGCUUAUGCCUUAGUUGUGUGAAGGGUGAAGUCAGUCGCUGCAUGGGCUCUGCAGGCAUCCCCUCUCCAGACACAAUGCAGCCCUUUUCCUUCUGCCAGCACACCCUCCCUCUGGGACUUGCUGCUACCAUGGAAAACAGCAUAAAGCACGGGUGAAUCUGUUCUUUAACCAGUUGUGAGCAGCAGGUCAGUAUUGUCACUGCGAUGUACCAAAUGGAUGGAUGGAUCCCACCGAACACAUGCGGCUUGUUUAGGUCAAAAGAAUGAACAUUAGAACUGGGCAGAACUCAGGAACUGGGGUUGCUGGCACACUGACAAACUUGGUUUAGAACAGUACCCACAUGAAUCAACCUUGAAAAUGACCUUGUGCUAGAGGCUGUACGUAUACAGGUAGCAAGCAAGAAAAGUGUGAUGGAGGAGAUGUUGACACAUGAGAGAGAGACUGAAUUAUUGUCUCCAGCUAGGAGACAGGUCCGGAGACAGAGUUCCUGGUGUUCUAUACAGGAAUUGUACCCAGGUUCCUCCCUUUUCUAACCUAAUUAUUCUUCCCAGAGCUAGUGGUAACCAUUUCUUCCCAGCACGCUGCAAUUUAUCUUCAGAGCAUCUUUUCUGCAUGACUAAAAUGUUUAGCUCCCCCGUGCAGCCCAA